GGGGUCGUGGCCAAGCCAGGGAUGGCGACUGACUCCAGAGGCUACGGCGCCCGGGACGACACUCCAGAACUGAUAUACUGAUCGGACACCUGAUCAGUGUCCGUGUGAUGACCCUCUGGAGUUCCGAGGCGCACCGGAGAUAUCAGUCGAUCGGGGGUUCAAAUCCCUCCGACCCCA
rnacentral:tRNA from 1 species